UACGGAGGGAGCUAGCGUUGUUCGGAAUUACUGGGCGUAAAGCGCACGUAGGCGGCUUUGUAAGUUAGAGGUGAAAGCCCGGGGCUCAACUCCGGAACUGCCUUUAAGACUGCAUCGCUUGAAUCCAGGAGAGGUGAGUGGAAUUCCGAGUGUAGAGGUGAAAUUCGUAGAUAUUCGGAAGAACACCAGUGGCGAAGGCGGCUCACUGGACUGGUAUUGACGCUGAGGUGCGAAAGCGUGUGGAGCAAACAGG
rnacentral:rRNA from 1 species